GAUGAACGCUGGCGGCGUGCUUAACACAUGCAAGUCGAACGGAAAGGCCCUGCUUUUGUGGGGUGCUCGAGUGGCGAACGGGUGAGUAACACGUGAGUAACCUGCCCUUGGCUUUGGGAUAACUUCAGGAAACUGGGGCUAAUACCGGAUAGGAGCUCCUGCUGCAUGGUGGGGGUUGGAAAGUUUCGGCGGUUGGGGAUGGACUCGCGGCUUAUCAGCUUGUUGGUGGGGUAGUGGCUUACCAAGGCUUUGACGGGUAGCCGGCCUGAGAGGGUGACCGGCCACAUUGGGACUGAGAUACGGCCCAGACUCCUACGGGAGGCAGCAGUGGGGAAUAUUGCACAAUGGGCGGAAGCCUGAUGCAGCAACGCCGCGUGCGGGAUGACGGCCUUCGGGUUGUAAACCGCUUUCGCCUGUGACGAAGCGUGAGUGACGGUAAUGGGUAAAGAAGCACCGGCUAACUACGUG
rnacentral:rRNA from 1 species